rnacentral:rRNA from 1 species
GCCUGCCGCGUGUAUGAAGAAGGCCUUCGGGUUGUAAAGUACUUUCAGCGGGGAGGAAGGGAGUAAAGUUAAUACCUUUGCUCAUUGACGUUACCCGCAAAAAAAGCACCGGCUAACUCCGUGCCAGCAGCCGCGGUAAUACGGAGGGUGCAAGCGUUAAUCGGAAUUACUGGGCGUAAAGCGCACGCAGGCGGUUUGUUAAGUCAGAUGUGAAAUCCCCGGGCUCAACCUGGGAACUGCAUCUGAUACUGGCAAGCUUGAGUCUCGUAGAGGGGGGUAGAAUUCCAGGUGUAGCGGUGAAAUGCGUAAAGAUCUGGAGGAAUACCGGUGGCAAAGGCGGCCCCCUGGACGAAAACUGACGCUCAGGUGCGAAAGCGUGGGGAGCAAACAGGAUUAAAUACCCUGGUAGUCCACGCCGUAAACGAUGUCGACUUGGAGGUUGUGCCCUUGAGGCGUGGCUUCCGGAGCUAACGCGUUAAGUCGACCGCCUGGGGAGUACGGCCGCAAGGUUAAAACUCAAAUGAAUUGACGGGGGCCCGCACAAG